rnacentral:rRNA from 1 species
CGCUCUUUGUAAAUUAAACAUAAAGAGUCCGACCUGCCCAGUGAUUUUUUUCAACGGCCGCAGUAUACUAACUGUGCUAAGGUAGCAUAAUAAUUUGUUCUAUAAUUGAGGACUGGAAUGAAUGGUUUCACAAGAGCAAAGCUGUCUCUUUCAUUAUUUAGUAGAAUUUUACUUUCAGGUGAAGAGGCCUGAAUAAAAUUAAAAGACAAGAAGACCCUAUCGAGCUUAAAAAAAAUUAAAGGACUAAACUAAUAAUAAUUUAAAAAAUAACCUCUAAAAAUUUUGGUUGGGGCGACCAAGGAACAAAAAAAACUUCCUUAACAAAUAUUAUUCAAAACCUGCUUGUAUUGAUCCAAAAUUUUUGAUUCAUGGAAAUAGUUACCGUAGGGAUAACAGCAUUAUCUUCUUUGAGAGCUCUAAUCGAAAAGAAGGUUUGUGACCUCGAUGUUGGACCAGAAUAUCCUAAAGAUGCAGAAGUCUUUAAGGGUUGGUCUGUUCGACCAUUAAAAUUCU